ensembl:lincRNA C920006O11Rik RIKEN cDNA C920006O11 gene
AUUCUACGGCCCGGCUCUGCUCCUGGCCCAGGCGCCCGUGUCCCGUGCGGUCCCAUACGAGAUGGGUUCUCUGCCUUCGGUGCGUGUCGGCGCCUCUGCCAAGGCGGAGCGGACGGCGAAAGAAAGGCUGAAAGCCAUCGUGACGUCGAGGCACAAGCUCCACUGUCCUAACAGUAGAGGUCGCAUGGAGUUCGUGAGAAGGGCAUUAGCUGCCGCUGGAGCUGUACCCAGCCCACCGUAUUUUCACAAAUUAGCCAGACAAUACGCCUUCUAUUCGCAUCACUACUGGUCCGGCUUCCUGUGGGGAUUUUCAGAUACAAGCAAACAAAACAUUGCAUAACUGUGUGCAGCCCUUACCCGGAUGUGUGCAGCUUUAGGGUGUGCUUGCAGGAGGAACAGAAUAUCCAAAUGACCUCCUUGGAAAACAACAGUUAAGGAGCACUGGGACUCUGGCAGGACGUGGGUUCUCUCCGACCCCUUUAUUCUCCCAUGCCCGCUGCCCUACAUGUGUGUACACAUGUGCUUCUGCUUGUGAGCACACAGGAGUUCAUUGUAGAGGGCAUCUCCCUUACCUGUUGUCUCUCUUUGAUUAAAAAAAUAUAUAUUCUUACAAACCCCUACAUAUACAUGUUGCCUGACUUACAGUCAGGUCUGGGUUACCGCCAUCAGUCCCAAUGUUCACAGAAAUGGGAAUCGAGAGGGGUGGACCAGUGGGGACAACCUGUAACUUGGACUUCUUACAUCACUCCUGUCCCUCCCAAGACACCUAGGACUCAUUGGGUCUAAUUCAGUCUAGGAGGUGUGUUUCUAGACGCAUCCCUGGAGUACAGUGAAUGCAAGCCAAGAAAUAAUGUUUUCUUCCCAAUUUCAUGGUCUCAUCCUGACCUACAGCAGAUAAGUAAGGAUGAUUCCAUUUCUGUAUUCUCUCGAGCCCAUCCCCCUCUCCCUGCCGUAGAGUCGGGAGUACGCUCUUUUUUUGUUGUUUUUUUUUUUUUUUUUUUUUUUUGAGACAGGGUUUCUCUGUAUCACCCUGGCUGUCCUGGAACUCACUCUAAAGUACCCUCUUAAUUAACGAUGCUUAGAGAGGAAUAAAAGGACAAGACCAGAGUUUCAGCUACCUUGGAUUCUGCACCGACUCAGGAUCACAGUCAGUUUGUGUGAGGUCACCAGUUUAUACCAAACAGGUUUCAAGGGGCCACGGACAGAACUGUCUUGGUCAGAAUCAGCUGAGUCUUGCAGACAUGAUUCUACUCCAGACCGUUUUGUCUCUAGAAGAGAAACUUGCAAACAUUCUGCCUUCCUUUUCUUUUCUUUGGGAAAGUAAAUGCUGUGUUAGAAGUUUGGACCAGAAUUCUCGGACUUCACCAUCUAUGGAUGUUUUGCUUUUGAUGUGUUUGCCUGUUUAUAAUCUAUUUUAUUUAUUUUGGAAGAUUUUCAUUAAUAAAAAGUAGUGAAGAC